rnacentral:rRNA from 1 species
GACGAACGCUGGCGGCGUGCUUAACACAUGCAAGUCGAACGGAAAGGCCCCUUUGGGGGUACUCGAGUGGCGAACGGGUGAGUAACACGUGAGUAACCUGCCCUUGACUUCGGGAUAACUUCAGGAAACUGGGGCUAAUACCGGAUAGGAAUCCUUGCUGCAUGGUGGGGGUUGGAAAGCUUCGGCGGUUUUGGAUGGACUCGCGGCUUAUCAGCUUGUUGGUGGGGUAGUGGCUUACCAAGGCUUUGACGGGUAGCCGGCCUGAGAGGGCGACCGGCCACAUUGAGACUGAGAUACGGCCCAGACUCCUACGGGAGGCAGCAGUGGGGAAUAUUGCACAAUGGGCGGAAGGCUGAUGCAGCAACGCCGCGUGCGGGAUGACGGCCUUCGGGUUGUAAACCGCGUUCAGCAGGGGCGAAGCUUGUGGUGACGGUACCUGCAGAAGAAGCACCGGCUAACUACGUG